AGCUCUGCCCAGUGGCAGUAUUGUAUCCAGUACAGUUUACCUGAGCCAUGAUCAUUGCUAAUUGAAAACUUUUUCCAAUACUCAGCUAUCAGGACUUGAAAUACAUUUGGCAAUGUAAAUUUUUGACAGUCUCUCUGGAGA
ensembl:snRNA U4 U4 spliceosomal RNA